rnacentral:rRNA from 1 species
UACGUAGGGACCAAGCGUUGUUCGGAUUUACUGGGCGUAAAGGGCGCGUAGGCGGCGCGGUAAGUCACUUGUGAAAUCUCUGAGCUUAACUCAGAACGGCCAAGUGAUACUGCAGUGCUAGAGUGUGGAAGGGGCAAUCGGAAUUCUUGGUGUAGCGGUGAAAUGCGUAGAUAUCAAGAGGAACACCUGAGGUGAAGACGGGUUGCUGGGCCAACACUGACGCUGAGGAGCGAAAGCGUGGGGAGCAAACAGG